UUAAGAAUCUUGCGCAAUGGGCGCAAGCCUGACGCAGCGACGCCGCGUGGACGAUGAAGGCCUUCGGGUUGUAAAGUCCGUUAAGCAGGGAAGAAUAAGCAACGGGAAAUAUUCGUUGUGAUGACGGUACCUGCCUAAAGCCCCGGCUAACUACGUGCCAGCAGCCGCGGUAAUACGUAUGGGGCGAGCGUUGUUCGGAAUUAUUGGGCGUAAAGGGCGUCUAGGCGGGGGAUUAAGUUAGUUGUGAAAUCCAUGGGCUCAACCCAUGAACUGCAUCUAAAACUGAUUCUCUUGAGUUCUGGAGAGGAGAGCGGAAUUCCCGGUGUAGCGGUGAAAUGCGUAGAUAUCGGGAAGAACACCAGUGGCGAAGGCGGCUCUCUGGCCAAGAACUGACGCUGAAGCGCGAAAGCGUGGGGAGCGAACGGG
rnacentral:rRNA from 1 species